GACCGCGUAGCUCAGUUGGCAGAGCAUUGGGCUAGUACACCAAAGGUCGUAGGUUCGAUUCCCACAGUGGACA
rnacentral:tRNA from 1 species